CUUUGUGAUACUACACAGCACUGGAAUGGAAGGUAUAAUUACAGCAGAACAACACAAGAACUGGAACAAAGGCGCAGAGAACAGCUCGCUGGACGUCAGCUAAGUUGCCUGCCAUACCAAUGUGAGGAAUGUGGCAGCAACUGGACAAGCAAAAGGAUAUUGUUUUAGGACACCGAGCCGGCGCCCCACAACACGGAUGGAACAACACCACCAGCUCAAUUUAAAACUCUCUAUUCUUGCAUUUUAUUGUGAACGAUGUGUAUGUACACUUAAAGAGUAGUAGCCAGUAAGUUCCAAGCCUGUAAGUGUUGUUUACUAUCAAUCAUUAUAUCUAUACAACGCAGGAUGGCACGAGUGAAAGUGGUCCGACGUUGCCAGCUAGCUCGUAGAAGUAAUAAUCAAACACAUGUCAUGAAAACCCAUUAAACGCGUAGAUUUAAUUACCUUGUUUUCAAGAAUAACGCAAUUGAAGGGUGGCUAUGUGUGGAGGAGCUGAUGUAAAGUCGUUUUCCUGCUGGCAAAUGCGGAACAUCUAAACAGCGCAUAAAAAUAAUGAAGUUA